GUAGGGUGCGAGCGUUAUCCGGAAUCAUUGGGCGUAAAGAGCUCGUAGGCGGUUCAGCAAGUCGGCUGUGAAAUUCCGAGGCUCAACCUCGGAACUGCAGUCGAUACUGCUGUGACUCGAGUCCGGUAGAGGAGAAUGGAAUUCAGGGUGUAGCGGUGAAAUGCGCAGAUAUCCUGAGGAACACCAAUAGCGAAGGCGGUUCUCUGGGCCGGUACUGACGCUGAGGAGCGAAAGCGUGGGUAGCAAACAGGAUUAGAUACCCUGGUAGUCCCACGCCCGUAAACGUUGGACACUAGGUGUGGCGUUCCGACCAACGGGUGCCGUGCCGAAGCUAACGCAUUAAGUGUCCCCGCCUGGGAGUACGGCCGCAAGGCUA
rnacentral:rRNA from 1 species